rnacentral:rRNA from 1 species
AUUGAACGCUGGCGGCAGGCCUAACACAUGCAAGUCGAACGAGUGGCGGACGGGUGAGUAAUGUCUGGGAAACUGCCCGUUGGCGGGCGAUAACUACUGGAAACGGUAGCUAAUACCGCAUACCAUCGGAUGUGCCCAGAUGGGAUUAGCUUGUAGGUGAGGUAACGGCUCACCAAGGCGACGAUCCCUAGCUGGUCUGAGAGGUUGAUCAGACAAACUGGAACGGAGACACGGUCCAGACUCCUACGGGAGGCAGCAGUGGGGAAUAUUGCACAAUGGGCGCAAGCCUGACGCAGCCAGGCCGCGUGUAUGAAGAAGGCUUUCGGGUUGUAAAGUACUGUCAGCGGGGAGGCGUUACCCGCAGAAAAAGCACCGGCUAACUCCGUGCCAGCAGCCGCGGUAAUAC